GGCAUUUCUUCCACAGCCUCUUCAUCAUGCAGCGAGGGGUGAGCAUGCUGAUAUUAUAAGAUUGUUGCUGGCUUCUGGAGCUUCUCCUACAAAGGCGAACCUAUAUGGAAAGAUCCCAAGUGAUUUACCAGAACUAGCUACAGAAGCUAGGAGAAUUUUGGAAGCUGCAGCUGGUGCGACGGCAUGCCAGUAGGCUUUACUUGCUGAGGAUUUCGUGAAGGAUGUGACUCUGCUGCUUUUAUCUUAUUAGUAUUACCAGUCAGCAACACCAAAAUG